GAUGAACGCUGGCGGCGUGCCUAAUACAUGCAAGUCGAGCGAACAGACGAGGAGCUUGCUCCUCUGACGUUAGCGGCGGACGGGUGAGUAACACGUGGAUAACCUACCUAUAAGACUGGGAUAACUUCGGGAAACCGGAGCUAAUACCGGAUAAUAUAUUGAACCGCAUGGUUCAAUAGUGAAAGACGGUUUUGCUGUCACUUAUAGAUGGAUCCGCGCCGCAUUAGCUAGUUGGUAAGGUAACGGCUUACCAAGGCAACGAUGCGUAGCCGACCUGAGGGGGUGAUCGGCCAACCUGAAACUGAGACACGGUCCAGACCCCAACGGGAGGCAGCAGUAGGGAAUCUUGCGCAAUGGGGGAAAGCCUGACCGAGCAUCGCCGCGUGAGUGAUGAAGGUCUUCGGAUCGUAAAACUCUGUAUUAGGGAAGAACAAAUGUGUAAGUAACUAUGCACGUCUUGACGGUACCUAAUCAGAAAGCCACGGCUAACUACGUG
rnacentral:rRNA from 1 species